rnacentral:tRNA from 1 species
GCUCCAGUAGCGCAAUGGGUUAGCGCAUGGUACUUAUACAGCAGUAYUCAUGAAGUGAUGCCAAGGUUGURAGUUCAAACCUCACCUGGAGCA